UUAACCGCGUUGGAACUAAGCAUAUCAAUAAGCGGAGGAAAAGAAACUAACAAGGAUUCCCCUAGUAACUGCGAGUGAAGCGGGAAAAGCUCAAAUUUAAAAUCUGGCGGUCCUUGGCCGUCCGAGUUGUAAUCUAGAGAAGUGUUACCCGCGCUGGACCGUGUACAAGUCUCCUGGAAUGGAGCGUCAUAGAGGGUGAGAAUCCCGUCUCUGACACGGACUACCAGGGCUUUGUGGUAUGCUCUCAAAGAGUCGAGUUGUUUGGGAAUGCAGCUCAAAAUGGGUGGUAAAUUCCAUCUAAAGCUAAAUAUUGGCGAGAGACCGAUAGCGAACAAGUACCGUGAGGGAAAGAUGAAAAGAACUUUGGAAAGAGAGUUAAACAGUACGUGAAAUUGCUGAAAGGGAAACGCUUGAAGUCAGUCACGUUGGCUGGGGAUCAGCCUCGCAAUUGCGUGGUGUACUUUCUGGUUGACGGGUCAGCAUCAAUUUUGACCGCUGGAAAAAGGCUUAGGGAAUGUGGCAGCUUCGGCUGUGUUAUAGCCCUUUGUCACAUACAGCGGUUGGGAUUGAGGAACUCAGCACGCCGCAAGGCCGGGUUUCGACCACGUUCGUGCUUAGGAUGCUGGCAUAAUGGCUUUAAGCGACCCGUCUUGAAACACGGACCAAGGAGUCUAACAUGCCUGCAAGUGUUUGGGUGGAAAACCCGAGCGCGUAAUGAAAGUGAAAGUUGAGAUCCCUGUCGUGGGGAGCAUCGACGCCCGGACCAGAACUUUUGGGACGGAUCCGCGGUAGAGCAUGUAUGUUGGGACCCGAAAGAUGGUGAACUAUGCCUGAAUAGGGUGAAGCCAGAGGAAACUCUGGUGGAGGCUCGUAGCGAUUCUGACGUGCAAAUCGAUCGUCAAAUUUGGGUAUAGGGGCGAAAGACUAAUCGAACCAUCUUGAUUUGGU
rnacentral:rRNA from 1 species